GCGUCAGUAUUUCAAUGGUAGAAUAAAACAUUGCCAAUGUUUAGGUGAGGGUUCGAUCCCCCUAUAUUUA
rnacentral:tRNA from 4 species